rnacentral:tRNA from 1 species
ACCUGGCUGGCUCAGUCGGUGGAGCAUGUGACUCUUGAUUCCAGGGUCAUGAGUUCGAGCCCCAUGCUGGGCG